GAGUUUGAUCAUGGCUCAGGAUGAACGCUAGCGGCAGGCUUGACACAUGCAAGUCGAACGGCAGCACAGUAUGUAGCAAUACAUAGUGGGUGGCGAGUGGCGGACGGGUGAGUAACGCGUGGGAAUCUGCCCUAUAGGUGGGGACCAACCCGACGAAAGUCGGGCUAAUACCGCAUACGCCCUACGGGGGAAAGGCUUCGGCCGCUAUUGGAUGAGCCCGCGUCGGAUUAGCUAGUUGGUGAGGUAAUGGCUCACCAAGGCGACGAUCCGUAGCUGGUCUGAGAGGACGAUCAGCCACACUGGGACUGAGACACGGCCCAGACUCCUACGGGAGGCAGCAGUGGGGAAUAUUGCACAAUGGGCGAAAGCCUGAUGCAGCAAUGCCGCGUGUGUGAAGAAGGCCUGCGGGUUGUAAAGCACUUUCGGUAGGGAAGAUAAUGACGGUACCUACAGAAGAAGCACCGGCUAACUCCGUG
rnacentral:rRNA from 1 species